AGCAGCCGCCGCGGUAAUACGAAGGGGGCUAGCGUUGCUCGGAAUGACUGGGCGUAAAGGGCGCGUAGGCGGUUUUCCAAGUUAGAUGUGAAAUUCCUGGGCUCAACCUGGGGGCUGCAUUUGAUACUGGGAGGCUUGAGUAUGGAAGAGGGUCGUGGAAUUCCCAGUGUAGAGGUGAAAUUCGUAGAUAUUGGGAAGAACGCCGGUGGCGAAGGCGGCGGCCUGGUCCAUAACUGACGCUGAGGCGCGAAAGCGUGGGGAGCAAACAGGAUUAGAUAUCCCAGUAGUCCCUGUCUCUUAUAA
rnacentral:rRNA from 1 species